rnacentral:pre_miRNA from 1 species
ACUGAUUUCUCUUGGUGUUUAGAGUUCCGUAUGCCUGGUCUAGCACCAUUUGAAAUCAGUUA